GCAAACUUGGUCAUUUAGAGGAAGUAAAAGUCGUAACAAGGUUUCCGUAGGUGAACCUGCGGAAGGAUCAUUACAGUGCUCGUCGGGGCGUCUUCUCAAAAAAGACGUUCCCGCACCUGCCCACCCGUGUCUACUUUCUCCUCUGUUGCUUUGGCGGGCCCGGCCAGGUUGACGUACCCACGUCACCCCGGCGACCGGCGGAUCACCUCGCGUACCCACGCGGGGCCCUCUGGGUAGCGCCCGUCAGAGGACCAUUUUUUGAAUUCUUUAAUGAAUAUUGUUAACAGUCUGAGCUGAUUUAGCAGAAAUGCAAAGUCAAAACUUUCAACAACGGAUCUCUUGGUUCUGGCAUCGAUGAAGAACGCAGC
rnacentral:misc_RNA from 1 species